UGAGAUUUGAUCCUGGCUCAGGACGAACGCUGGCGGCGUGCUUAACACAUGCAAGUCGAACGAUGAAGCCCUUCGGGGUGGAUUAGUGGCGAACGGGUGAGUAACACGUGGGCAAUCUGCCCUUCACUCUGGGACAAGCCCUGGAAACGGGGUCUAAUACCGGAUAAUACUCCUGCCUGCAUGGGCGGGGGUUGAAAGCUCCGGCGGUGAAGGAUGAGCCCGCGGCCUAUCAGCUUGUUGGUGGGGUAAUGGCCCACCAAGGCGACGACGGGUAGCCGGCCUGAGAGGGCGACCGGCCACACUGGGACUGAGACACGGCCCAGACUCCUACGGGAGGCAGCAGUGGGGAAUAUUGCACAAUGGGCGAAAGCCUGAUGCAGCGACGCCGCGUGAGGGAUGACGGCCUUCGGGUUGUAAACCUCUUUCAGCAGGGAAGAAG
rnacentral:rRNA from 1 species